rnacentral:rRNA from 1 species
GAUCCUGGCUCAGGAUGAACGCUAGCGGCAGGCUUAACACAUGCAAGUCGAGGGGCAGCGAGAGAGUAGCAAUACUUUGUCGGCGACCGGCGCACGGGUGCGUAACGCGUAUCCAACCUUCCCGAUACUCAGGGAUAGCCUUCCGAAAGGGAGAUUAAUACAAGAUGGUAUUCAAAUUCCGCAUGUUAUUUGAAUUAAAGAUUUAUCGGUAACGGAUGGGGAUGCGUGACAUUAGGUAGAUGGCGGGGUAACGGCCCACCAUGCCUACGAUGUCUAGGGGUUCUGAGAGGAAGGUCCCCCACACUGGAACUGAGACACGGUCCAGACUCCUACGGGAGGCAGCAGUGAGGAAUAUUGGUCAAUGGACGCAAGUCUGAACCAGCCAAGUAGCGUGAAGGAUGACUGCCCUAUGGGUUGUAAACUUCUUUUAUACGGGAAUAAAAGACAUUACGUGUAGUGUUUUGCAUGUACCGUUAUGAAUAAGCAUCGGCUAAUUCCGUG